rnacentral:rRNA from 1 species
GGAAAAGAAACUAACAAUGAUUCCCCUAGUAACGGCGAGUGAAGAGGGAAGAGCCCAAGAUUGAAAGCUGGCGCCUUUGACGUCCGCAUUGUAAUCUCAAGAAGUGUUUUCCGCUUCGGACCAUGCCUAAGUCCCUUGGAAAAGGGCAUCAUAGAGGGUGAUAAUCCCGUACAUGGCAUGGAGCGCCCGAGGCUUUGUGAUACACUUUCCAAGAGUCGAGUUGUUUGGGAAUGCAGCUCAAAAUGGGUGGUAAAUGCCAUCUAAGGCUAAAUAUUGGGGAGAGACCGAUAGCGAACAAGUACAGUGAUGGAAAGAUGAAAAGAACUUUGAAAAGAGAGUUAAACAGUACGUGAAAUUGCCAAAAGGGAAGGGUAGGAGGUCAGAGAUGCGGCCUUGGGAUUCAGCCUUGAUUUAUCUUGGUGUUUUUCCCAGGUUGCAGGCCAACGUCGGUUUUGGGCACUGGAGAAGGGUGGGAGGAAUGUGGCACCCCUCGGGGUGUGUUAUAGCCUCCUACUGGAUACAGCGACCGAGACCGAGGAAAGCA